rnacentral:rRNA from 1 species
CCUACGGGAGACAGCAGUAGGGAAUCUUCCACAAUGGGCGAAAGCCUGAUGGAGCAACGCCGCGUGGGUGAAGAAGGUCUUCGGAUCGUAAAACCCUGUUGUUAGAGAAGAAAGUGCGUGAGAGUAACUGUUCACGUUUCGACGGUAUCUAACCAGAAAGCCACGGCUAACUACGUGCCAGCAGCCGCGGUAAUACGUAGGUGGCAAGCGUUAUCCGGAUUUAUUGGGCGUAAAGGGAACGCAGGCGGUCUUUUAAGUCUGAUGUGAAAGCUUUCGGCUUAACCGGAGUAGUGCAUUGGAAACUGGGAGACUUGAGUGCAGAAGAGGAGAGUGGAAUUCCAUGUGUAGCGGUGAAAUGCGUAGAUAUAUGGAAGAACACCAGUGGCGAAAGCGGCUCUCUGGUCUGUAACUGACGCUGAGGUUCGAAAGCGUGGGUAGCAAACAGGAUUAGAUACCCGGGUAGUC